GACGAACGCUGGCGGCGCGCCUAACACAUGCAAGUCGAACGAGCGAGAGAGAGCUUGCUUUCUCGAGCGACUGGCGAACGGGUGAGUAACGCGUGAGGAACCUGCCUCAAAGAGGGGGACAACAGUUGGAAACGACUGCUAAUACCGCAUAAGCCCACGGCUCGGCAUCGAGCAGGGGGAAAAGGAGCAAUCCGCUUUGAGAUGGCCUCGCGUCCGAUUAGCUAGUUGGUGAGGUAACGGCCCACCAAGGCGACGAUCGGUAGCCGGACUGAGAGGUUGAACGGCCACAUUGGGACUGAGACACGGCCCAGACUCCUACGGGAGGCAGCAGUGGGGAAUAUUGCACAAUGGGGGAAACCCUGAUGCAGCGACGCCGCGUGGAGGAAGAAGGUCUUCGGAUUGUAAACUCCUGUUGUUGGGGAAGAUAAUGACGGUACCCAACAAGGAAGAGACGGCUAACUACGUG
rnacentral:rRNA from 1 species